UUGAAUGAGAAGUGCCUGGAGAAGGAAAGGCACCAGCAUGCCUGGUGGGGGUUGCUUCUCUGUGCAUCUUCAUGUAAAACAUCAGGGGCUUCCAGUUUUCUGACCCUUUAAGGAGUUUUUUGACCCUUACUCUCACAAGGUUUAACAUGCUGUUUUCUUUUGUAACAGGACAAAAUUGGAGACACUGGUUAUUUUCCCCAAGGCUUUGAAUGAAUGACAUGCUUUCGGAUACAAACAGACUCCUUUAAGAAAUCAAUGUUAACUUAGAGAGCCAAUAAAAUCCCCUUGGGAAAAGUGGACCCACAUCUUGUCUACACAAUCCCUGUGCAGGCUUUCUCACCUGUGGGAUCCAUGGCUGAGGCUCAGAAGAAACAAGAGGGAUGGGCCAUCAAUCACCAGAUGAUC
rnacentral:lncRNA from 10 species